rnacentral:rRNA from 1 species
AACGAACGCUGGCGGCAGGCCUAACACAUGCAAGUCGAGCGAAGACAUCGGGCCUAUCCGCGGACGGGGGAGUAACCCGUGGGGACGUGCCCAUUGCUUCGGCAUAGCUCUGGGAAUCUGGUAGUAAUACCGGAUCAGCCCUUUGGGGGGAAGAUUUAUCGGCGAAGGAGCGGCCCGAGUUGGAUUAGGUAGUGGGUGGGGUAAUGGCCUACCACGCCGAGGAUGCAUAGCUGGUUAGAGAGGAUGAUCAGCGACACUGGGAGUGAGACACGGCCCAGAAUCCUACGGGAGGGAGGAGUGGGGAAUCUUAGACAAUGGGGGAAACCCUGAUGGAGCCAUGCCGGGUGAGCGAUGAAAGUCUUAGGGUUGUAAAGUUCUUUCAGCUGGGAAGAUAAUGACGGUACCAGCAGAAGAAGCCCCGGCUAACUCCGUG